GUUCAACGGCCGCGGUAUCCUAACCGUGCGAAGGUAGCGUAAUCACUUGUUCUUUAAAUGAGGACUAGUAUGAAUGGCACCACGAGGGUUAUACUGUCUCCUUUUUCUAAUCAGUGAAACUAAUCUCCCCGUGAAGAAGCGGGGAUUAAAAUAUAAGACGAGAAGACCCUAUGGAGCUUUAAACUUAAUAACAAGUACUACCCUUUAUUUAACUUUCAGAACAUAUACCUUUAUUCUAGUAUUAUGAUUAUUAGUUUUAGGUUGGGGUGACCGCGGAGCAAAAAUCAACCUCCACAUUGAACGGAACUCAUUCCUGAGCAAAAAGCCACGACUUUAAGCACCAACAAAUUGACAUCAAUUGACCCAAUAUUUUGAUCAACGAACCAAGUUACCCUAGGGAUAACAGCGCAAUCCACUUCAAGAGCUCCUAUCGACAAGUGGGUUUACGACCUCGAUGUUGGAUCAGGGUAUCCCAGUGGUGCAGCCGCUA
rnacentral:rRNA from 1 species